UGGGGAAUAUUGCGCAAUGGGGGAAACCCUGACGCAGCAACGCCGCGUGAAGGAAGAAGGUCUUCGGAUUGUAAACUUCUUUGAUGAGGGACGAAGAAUGACGGUACCUCAAAAACAAGCCACGGCUAACUACGUGCCAGCAGCCGCGGUAAUACGUAGGUGGCGAGCGUUGUCCGGAAUUACUGGGUGUAAAGGGCGUGUAGGCGGGGGCAUAAGUCAGAUGUGAAAUACCGGGGCUUAACUCCGGGGCUGCAUCUGAAACUAUGUUUCUUGAGUGCUGGAGAGGAAAGCGGAAUUCCCAGUGUAGCGGUGAAAUGCGUAGAUAUUGGGAGGAACACCAGUGGCGAAGGCGGCUUUCUGGACAGCAACUGACGCUGAGGCGCGAAAGCGUGGGGAGCGAACAGG
rnacentral:rRNA from 1 species